rnacentral:rRNA from 1 species
AGUGAACGCUGGCGGUAUGCCUAACACAUGCAAGUCGAACGGCAGCACAGUAAGAGCUUGCUCUUACGGGUGGCGAGUGGCGGACGGGUGAGGAAUACAUCGGAAUCUACUUUUUCGUGGGUGAUAACGUAGGGAAACUUACGCUAAUACCGCAUACGACCUACGGGUGAAAGCAGGGGAUCUUCGGACCUUGCGCGAUUGUAUGAGCCGAUGUCGGAUUAGCUAGUUGGCGGGGUAAAGGCCCACCAAGGCGACGAUCCGUAGCUGGUCUGAGAGGAUGAUCAGCCACACUGGAACUGAGACACGGUCCAGACUCCUACGGGAGGCAGCAGUGGGGAAUAUUGGACAAUGGGCGAAAGCCUGAUCCAGCCAUACCGCGUGGGUGAAGAAGGCCUUCGGGUUGUAAAGCCCUUUUGUUGGGAAAGAAAAGCAGCAGGUUAAUACCCCGCUGUUCUGACGGUACCCAAAGAAUAAGCACCGGCUAACUUCGUG